CGUGGCCUUGUGGUUAAGUCGCCAGGCUAAUAACCUGAAGGUCUAUGGUUCGAACCC
rnacentral:tRNA from 11 species